UCAAAUUCUUCAGUUUUAUUGACAAUUCAAUUUUCAAGAUGACUUUGGGAAAUGAGUAAUGCAUCUAAAGAAAGAUAACAGCAGAAGUGAGGAAAUGAGUGAAACGUCUAUUAAGAAUUGCCCGACCUCAAAAACUAUUUUUACCUUGACAAAAUGACAUUCAAUCCAAUCAAUGUAUCAUAAAUUGGAUUUUCUGAGUAAGUAAGAAAUAGUAUGUGUAUACUAGGGCAAAUUACUAGAUUUCACAGUUAAGACAUUAAGUACAUUUAUGCAUUUAGCAGACCGUUUUAUCCAAAGCGACUUACAGUGCAUUCAGGACACACAGUAUGUGUGUUCUUUGGUAAUUGAACCCACAACCUUCUGCGCUGCUAACACAAUGCUCUACCGCUGAGCCACAGAAAUACCAGUUCUUAAGUAAGUAGUUAACUUAAAAGUGUUUGUUAGAACAGCUGCUGGAUUUGACAGUGAAGUUACUCACAACUGAUUCAUUACAUGCUUGUUCUGAAAGGUGAGUCUGAAAGUAGUUGUUUUUAAAGCUGGUUUAAAUGACUGAACACACAUAAUAUGAAUGAAAAUUCAACUUAACACAACAACAAAAUACAAAUUCAACUUACUGAUAUAUACAUAUACAUCACCUUUUGUUUACAGUCAAAUGUCUAUAUGAUUUAUUGUGUUUACAUUAAAAAGCAAUAGUUCACACAAAAAUGAAAAUUCCUCAUUUAAUCAGAAGCUCAUUUAAAUAGGUAUCAGCAAAAACAUGUAAAUCCUGCCCCUUCUUUGCAUCGUCAGCACAUGCUUCAGUGCUCUGAGAGUGUUUAUAGUGCUGUGAGUUUAACACUUUAACACUGAGAGCAGAACACAACACAAUCUUCAUCAUCACACAAGACAAAACAACUACAAUGAACAACAUCCUCAUCCUCAUCUGGACCAUUGCAGCACUUAUUGAAGAAUCCAGAGGAGUCACUUUGACUCAACCUGAAGUUAAAACUGUGCAACAGGGUCAAACAGCUACAAUAGAGUGUAAUAUUGACAUCGGGAUACGCUACAGUCACAUGUACUGGUAUCAGCAGAAACCUGGAGAAGCUCCUAAACUCCUCAUAUAUCAGAUAAACAGCCUCCAGUCAGGAACUCCAUCUAGAUUCAGUGGCAGUGGAACAGCAGAUACUGGAAGAGAUUUCACUCUGACCAUCAGUGGAGUCCAGCCUGAAGAUACAGGAGAUUAUUACUGUCAGAGUUACCAUUACAUCAACAGUAAAUAUGUGUUCACACAGUGAUAAAGAGUCGUACAAAAACCUCCGUCAGUCAGAGUCACAGUGACUGCACUGAUACAGCUGAGAGAUACUGCAGCUGCUGAUGAGAGGAUCACAAACAUUUUUUUUGUGGCAAAUUGAACAUUAAACACUACAAGUCUCCGCUUUUUCAUCUUGAAACAAAAAAUAAUGCUUAUUUUAAAUUUAAUUUUUUUUUACUCUCCCUGUUAAGCAGU